AAACAUCGAAAUACCCAGAGAACCAACAAUUUCGCACAAGCCUUAUUUCUGCCCAGCCACCGCCGACCACCCUAGGACGUCGGAGCACCACCCACAGCGCCAAAAAACGCUGGCCAACCCAACCCCGUUGAACCCAAUCAUUUCCGAGGACCCAGUCGCGUCGCCGGUCACUUCCAACCACCCAGAGCCGCCGUCGCCUCAGCCUUUUUCUCUCGGUAACGCGCUACAAGUUGGAAGUCAGGAAGCAACGCUAAGAG